UAGUGAUCCGGUGGUUCUGAAUGGAAGGGCCAUCGCUCAACGGAUAAAAGGUACUCCGGGGAUAACAGGCUGAUACCGCCCAAGAGUUCAUAUCGACGGCGGUGUUUGGCACCUCGAUGUCGGCUCAUCACAUCCUGGGGCUGAAGUCGGUCCCAAGGGUAUGGCUGUUCGCCAUUUAAAGUGGUACGCGAGCUGGGUUUAGAACGUCGUGAGACAGUUCGGUCCCUAUCUGCCGUGGGCGUUGGAAGAUUGAAGGGGGCUGCUCCUAGUACGAGAGGACCGGAGUGGACGAACCUCUGGUGUUCGGGUUGUGUCGCCAGACGCAUUGCCCGGUAGCUAAGUUCGGAAUCGAUAACCGCUGAAAGCAUCUAAGCGGGAAGCGAGCCCUGAGAUGAGUCUUCCCUGAUACUUUAAGUAUCCUAAAGGGUUGUCGGAGACUACGACGUUGAUAGGUCAGGUGUGUAAGUGCUGUGAGGCAUUGAGCUAACUGAUACUAAUUGCCCGUGAGGCUUAACCAUACAACACCCAAGGGGUUU
rnacentral:rRNA from 1 species